UGCCAGCCGCCGCGGUAAUACAGAGGGUGCGAGCGUUAAUCGGAUUUACUGGGCGUAAAGCGUGCGUAGGCGGCUUCUUAAGUCGGAUGUGAAAUCCCUGAGCUUAACUUAGGAAUUGCAUUCGAUACUGGGAAGCUAGAGUAUGGGAGAGGAUGGUAGAAUUCCAGGUGUAGCGGUGAAAUGCGUAGAGAUCUGGAGGAAUACCGAUGGCGAAGGCAGCCAUCUGGCCUAAUACUGACGCUGAGGUACGAAAGCAUGGGGAGCAAACAGGAUUAGAUA
rnacentral:rRNA from 1 species